CCUACGGGAGGCUGCAGUGGGGAAUAUUGGGCAAUGGGCGCAAGCCUGACCCAGCGACGCCGCGUGAGGGAAGACGGUCUUCGGAUUGUAACCCUCUUUCAGCAGGGAAGACAACAGGACGGUACCUGCAGAAGAAGCCACGGCUAACUACGUGCCAGCGGCCGCGGUAAUACGUAGGUGGCGAGCGUUACCCGGCAUUCCUGGGUGUAAAGGGUGGGGAGGCGGGUUUGCAAGUCAGAGGUGAAAAGUAUGGGCUCAACCCAUACCCUGCGUCUGACACUACAGCUCUUGAGAGUUGGAGAGGUAAACGGAAUUCCCGGUGUAGCGGGGAAAUGCGUAGAUAGCGGGAGGAACACCAGUGGCGAAGGCGGUUUACUGGACGACAACUGACGCUGAGACACGAAAGCGUGGGGAGCAAACAGGAUUAGAUACCCGUGUAGUC
rnacentral:rRNA from 1 species